rnacentral:rRNA from 1 species
AGAGUUUGAUCAUGGCUCAGAUUGAACGCUGGCGGCAGGCCUAACACAUGCAAGUCGAGCGGUAGCACAGAGAGCUUGCUCUCGGGUGACGAGCGGCGGACGGGUGAGUAAUGUCUGGGAAACUGCCUGAUGGAGGGGGAUAACUACUGGAAACGGUAGCUAAUACCGCAUAAUGUCGCAAGACCAAAGUGGGGGACCUUCGGGCCUCAUGCCAUCAGAUGUGCCCAGAUGGGAUUAGCUAGUAGGUGGGGUAACGGCUCACCUAGGCGACGAUCCCUAGCUGGUCUGAGAGGAUGACCAGCCACACUGGAACUGAGACACGGUCCAGACUCCUACGGGAGGCAGCAGUGGGGAAUAUUGCACAAUGGGCGCAAGCCUGAUGCAGCCAUGCCGCGUGUGUGAAGAAGGCCUUCGGGUUGUAAAGCACUUUCAGCGGGGAGGAAGGCGUUAAGGUUAAUAACCUUGGCGAUUGACGUUACCCGCAGAAGAAGCACCGGCUAACUCCGUGCCAGCAGCCGCGGUAAUACGGAGGGUGCAAGCGUUAAUCGGAAUUACUGGGCGUAAAGCGCACGCAGGCGGUCUGUCAAGUCGGAUGUGAAAUCCCCGGGCUCAACCUGGGAACUGCAUUCGAAACUGGCAGGCUAGAGUCUUGUAGAGGGGGGUAGAAUUCCAGGUGUAGCGGUGAAAUGCGUAGAGAUCUGGAGGAAUACCGGUGGCGAAGGCGGCCCCCUGGACAAAGACUGACGCUCAGGUGCGAAAGCGUGGGGAGCAAACAGGAUUAGAUACCCUGGUAGUCCACGCCGUAAACGAUGUCGAUUUGGAGGUUGUGCCCUUGAGGUGUGGCUUCCGGAGCUAACGCGUUAAAUCGACCGCCUGGGGAGUACGGCCGCAAGGUUAAAACUCAAAUGAAUUGACGGGGGCCCGCACAAGCGGUGGAGCAUGUGGUUUAAUUCGAUGCAACGCGAAGAACCUUACCUGGUCUUGACAUCCACAGAACUUUCCAGAGAUGGAUUGGUGCCUUCGGGAACUGUGAGACAGGUGCUGCAUGGCUGUCGUCAGCUCGUGUUGUGAAAUGUUGGGUUAAGUCCCGCAACGAGCGCAACCCUUAUCCUUUGUUGCCAGCGGUCCGGCCGGGAACUCAAAGGAGACUGCCAGUGAUAAACUGGAGGAAGGUGGGGAUGACGUCAAGUCAUCAUGGCCCUUACGACCAGGGCUACACACGUGCUACAAUGGCAUAUACAAAGAGAAGCGACCUCGCGAGAGCAAGCGGACCUCAUAAAGUAUGUCGUAGUCCGGAUUGGAGUCUGCAACUCGACUCCAUGAAGUCGGAAUCGCUAGUAAUCGUAGAUCAGAAUGCUACGGUGAAUACGUUCCCGGGCCUUGUACACACCGCCCGUCACACCAUGGGAGUGGGUUGCAAAAGAAGUAGGUAGCUUAACCUUCGGGAGGGCGCUUACCACUUUGUGAUUCAUGACUGGGGUGAAGUCGUAACAAGGUAACCGUAGGGGAACCUGCGGUUG